CCUGCGCCUUCUCCAAUAGGGUAAAGCCCUCUUAAGGACGUGCACUCGCAAGGGUCAGCACUUCGCGAGAUCUGGACUGGGGAACUAGUUCUUGUCUGCAAUGAGGAAGAAACUAAAAGUUGCAACAAAGUUGCCUCUUUAUUGUUUAGGUAGUAGACCUCUUGUCUGCAAUCAGGUACUACAAAAUUGCCUUCGCCCAUUGCAGCUGCCCUUCGUUCAAACAUCCUCUGAAAUCAUACGGUCGAGAUGAAAAUACUUGCAAGUAAAAUAUUGACAAACAAUAAAUGUACCUACGUACUAGGGCCUAUGGGUAAUUCAACAAUUACCAUGGAAGAAACAACUGAUUGAGCUAGGUUCUUGAAGACAAAAACUCUCUAGCUUAUACUUGUUUCUUUGUACAAUCUAAUGGUUUCGAUCUAUGCAGCCAGUGUGGAAAGCGAGAAAUGCAAGAUGUUUUGAAGGCAGAACCAGUUCAAUCCAGAAGAUCAAGAGCUCCUGCAAAGGAGGCUACCCAGAGAGUUCUUGAUUUGUAUGGUUAAAUUCUCUUAGUUUUACUUGUUUUAUUACUUAUUGUCAUGUUGUUGUAGUAGUACGAAUUGUAUCGUUUCUUGUCAUUACAUAAUGUCCACACAUCAACAACAAUAUGAGGUGUGUAUCAUAAUUAUAGUUACGGUUUCGACGAAACUCAAUAAAAAAGUUCAAUGAUAAACAACAUUCAUUUAGAACCUACAAACUACUCUAAAUCCUGCAUUCGUCUCUCAUCUUUGAUCGCAACGAACUAUAUAUGAAGAGUUGCUAGAUCAACAAUGAGCAGCCUAUGAUUUACAUAGUAAUGAACACAAUGCUGUCAGUAUUUUGCCACUCCAGCACUCUGAGCCUUCCCUAAAAUUAACUCGAUGCUGCCAUGAAAGAGACCUAAACAUUUCGCCAAUGCAAAGCCGCUAUACAUGCCACCAACAGCUGCACUUACUAUACCGCCGGCAUAACCUGCGCCUUCUCCAAUAGGGUAAAGCCCUCUUAAGGACGUGCACUCGCAAGGGUCAGCACUUCGCGAGAUCUGGACUGGGGAACUAGUUCUUGUCUGCAAUGAGGAAGAAACUAAAAGUUGCAACAAAGUUGCCUCUUUAUUGUUUAGGUAGUAGACCUCUUGUCUGCAAUCAGGUACUACAAAAUUGCCUUCGCCCAUUGCAGCUGCCCUUCGUUCAAACAUCCUCUGAAAUCAUACGGUCGAGAUGAAAAUACUUGCAAGUAAAAUAUUGACAAACAAUAAAUGUACCUACGUACUAGGGCCUAUGGGUAAUUCAACAAUUACCAUGGAAGAAACAACUGAUUGAGCUAGGUUCUUGAAGACAAAAACUCUCUAGCUUAUACUUGUUUCUUUGUACAAUCUAAUGGUUUCGAUCUAUGCAGCCAGUGUGGAAAGCGAGAAAUGCAAGAUGUUUUGAAGGCAGAACCAGUUCAAUCCAGAAGAUCAAGAGCUCCUGCAUUUCUCUUCUUUAUUUUUGGUGUAAAGAACAGUUAGUUGAUGAUGUUGAAUCAUUACUAGACUUCUUCGCCUCUUUGUAAGUUUUGUUCAAGGCUGUAUCUGUAGAUAUGAUAUACCAGGCCUGUUUAGGGUACUGAUGAAUAUAACUCGUUGCCAAUUUCAAAAAAUCUAUGCAGCCAGUGUGGACGCUUAUAAGUAGUACCUGAAAUUCAACACCACCGAGAGGUAUGUGCAAGUCCAAAGCAGCAAAAUCUUUUGACGAGACUGUAACAAC
rnacentral:lncRNA from 1 species